CCUGGGCUCAAGCCUUGGCCUCCCAAAGUGCUGGGAUUACAGCCCCACCUGCAGAGUCAAGUCCCUCCUCCCACCUCAGCACUGCUAGAAAAGAGCUUCAGGAUGGAGCCACACAUGUCACUCAAGCCCAAGGGUCAGUCAACAGCCCACAGCCCUAAAUUCAUCUGUGUCCAAUGCCAGACCCUGCAACUGCUGAUUUACAUGAAUCAACUCCAUCAUGCAAGCCUCAUGACAUCCCAAUGAGCCACCAUCCUGUGAGGAAGCCCAGAGCACAUGAAGAGACCACCUGCACAUGUUCAGAUCCACUGCCCCAGCUAAGAUCUCCGCUGACAGCCAGACCAAUCACCAAUCUUAGGAGCUGGCGAGCCUUCAGAUGGUCCAACCUUUGAGGCCCCCCAGAGGAGCCAGGUGGAGCAUAGAUGAGCCAUCCAUGUGGAUCCCUCCACCAAAUGGAAGAUUUAGGAGCAAAAUAAACAAUGUUGUCAUUGCUUUCA
rnacentral:lncRNA from 1 species